rnacentral:rRNA from 1 species
ACCUUACUACAUGGAUAACCGUGGUAAUUCUAGAGCUAAUACAUGCCAAAAACCCCGACUCACGAAGGGGUGUAUUUAUUAGAUAAAAAACCGACGCCCUUCGGGGCUCACCGGUGAUUCAUGAUAACUUCGCGAAUCGCAUGGCCUUGCGCCGGCGAUGGUUCAUUCAAAUUUCUGCCCUAUCAACUUUCGAUGGUAGGAUAGUGGCCUACCAUGGUGUCGACGGGUGACGGGGAAUUAGGGUUCGAUUCCGGAGAGGGAGCCUGAGAAACGGCUACCACAUCCAAGGAAGGCAGCAGGCGCGCAAAUUACCCAAUCCCGACACGGGGAGGUAGUGACAAUAAAUACCGAUGCAGGGCUCUUAUGGGUCUUGUAAUUGGAAUGAGUACAAUUUAAAUCCCUUAACGAGGAACAAUUAGAGGGCAAGUCUGGUGCCAGCAGCCGCGGUAAUUCCAGCUCUAAUAGCGUAUAUUAAAGUUGUUGCAGUUAAAAAGCUCGUAGUUGAACCUUGGGCCUGGCUGGCCGGUCCGCCUCACCGCGUGCACUGGUCCGGCCGGGCCUUUCCUUCUGGGGAUCCGCAUGCCCUUCACUGGGCGUGUCGGGGAACCAGGACUUUUACUUUGAAAAAAUUAGAGUGUUCAAAGCAGGCCUUUGCUCGAAUACAUUAGCAUGGAAUAAUAGAAUAGGACGAGCGGUCCUAUUUUGUUGGUUUCUAGGACCGCCGUAAUGAUUAAUAGGGAUAGUCGGGGGCAUCGGUAUUCAGUUGUCAGAGGUGAAAUUCUUGGAUUUACUGAAGACCAACUACUGCGAAAGCAUUUGCCAAGGAUGUUUUCAUUAAUCAGUGAACGAAAGUUAGGGGAUCGAAGACGAUCAGAUACCGUCGUAGUCUUAACCAUAAACCAUGCCGACUAGGAUCGGCGACUUUC